AGCGCGGUAGAGCAGUGGUUAGCUCACGAGGCUCAUAUCCUCGAGGUCGACGGUUCGAGUCCGUCCUGCGCUA
rnacentral:tRNA from 1 species